CCAGUGCUUCUAUUAUUUUUUAGUGAAAUUCUAAGUUUCUUUCUCCCAAGCCAUUUUCUAAGAGGGCCUUGAAGUGUCAUAACUUAAAAUAAAUCCAAGGUGUGAAGCCUAGGACUGGCACAGCAGCCUCAUGUUCCCAUUUGCUUGGUCUCCCCCGUGAAUCCGAGGAAGGAGCUGCAAUAUUUCAUCCACAUGCCAGGUGGCAAGGAGCAGGGGGAUGGAAGUGCAGAAGAGGAGCCCUCAACCUCCCUGUCCCUUGUUGAAGAAGCAGAAGAGCUAUUCUACUGGAGAGGAUCGUGUGUUUAACAGAAGAAAAUCUGCUUCAACCUCCAGGUCUCCAACCCAGUAGUGUGAUCGGGGC